rnacentral:rRNA from 1 species
UACGGAGGGUGCGAGCGUUAUCCGGAUUCACUGGGGUUAAAGGGUGCGUAGGUGGGCAGGUAAGUCAGUGGUGAAAUCUCCGGGCUUAACCCGGAAACUGCCAUUGAUACUAUCAGUCUUGAAUACCGUGGAGGUAAGCGGAAUAUGUCAUGUAGCGGUGAAAUGCUUAGAUAUGACAUAGAACACCAAUUGCGAAGGCAGCUUACUACCCGAAUAUUGACACUGAGGCACGAAAGCGUGGGGAUCAAACAGG